rnacentral:lncRNA from 1 species
CUUGUUUGCACUCGUGAACAAAGGCUGCAUAGCCGCAGUUGUCUAGCUUCUCUGUAAUUUCAGGCCCAAGACUCAGCAGACGCUGAUUAACCAAUCCAUCUACCAUAUGUGCAGAAAGAGACGGCCAGCCUGACUCUCGGCAGGGAAAAUUGGCAUCCAUCUUGGUUCACAUGGAGAUGUCCUUCUAAUCUACAGCCGCGCUGGCGCAACAAAACUUCGAUGGCCUGAAAUACCUUUUGCUGGCUUCACAGCGAGCUGCAUGUGUAUGAUAAGAAUGUAUUAUUUAUAAGACCGCUGUUAGUAAUGAGCUAUUACACUAAUGGCUCAUUGUGUUUGGAAUUUGAUUUCAAAUGGCAUGGAUCACACAUUCUGAUGAAAAUGAGAAAAACAUGUUUUGCCAUUAGGAACAAAGAUUUAACGUUCUCCAAUUCUACAACCUGUUAUAUUCCCAUCAUUCAUCCAGGGUUGUAACAAUUUACAAAAGUUCACAAUUACAGACUACAACAGAGCAAGGACAUAUUGUGGAAGUGUCUGCUUUUUCCUUUGAGUUUCUUUCAAAUAACCGAUUUGAGAAACACUAUUCUUAAAUAUGAAUUUGCAGGAGUAUCCAAAUGUAUUCUUGUGUAUGCACUGAAAAAAAAAUGGAUUUAAUGGACUUUUUAACUUGUACAACAGAAAGGCAUUGAUUGCUGGCUGUUAUCUAUCUUCCUGGUGACAGAAGUACUUUUCACCACAAGUGUCUUCAAUUAUCUUAUACUGGAGAACAAAACUGAAGGUUUUGUUGUUCUUGCUUGUCCUGUAAAUAUCUACAUCAUGACACAUAAGGUUUAGAUUGCUAGAAAACUAUGUGUACUGUGGCCUUGUCUUCCCAAACAGGUCCAUUUACAGAAACGUGUGUAUUUUCUCAUUUAUGCUUCCAUCCAAAAAGCCCUACAGCCACCCAUCCCUUUUGGGUGACAAUAUUCCACUGUGAGGGUUUUGCCCUCAUUGUGACCACUGCUGGCUCUGAUCCUCUCCUCCUGAUGCCAAGCGCAUGGCUGACCUGGCAGGCUUUCCCUGCCUGCAGGUCAGUGGUGCCUACUCGGACCACUGCUGCCCACACCCUGGAUGAUGCCAAAGCAGACGCUCUGCCCAUCUGUCACUAGGAGCCGCCGCUGGCCUCCAACUACCCUUCCCUAAAACCUCAGCUUGGAGUAAACACCAGAUGUCAAGAUCGAGGUCUGUGGUCUCCCCUCCACAGAACACAAAGCCUCUGAUGCUUGAGGCAGCACGGCCUCUGGAAGGAGAUGGGGCUGGAUGCCCUCUGCCUCUUUCGAGACACCAAAGGAUUCUUGCAGGGUUGGAACUGCAGUUUUCAGCCUACAGCUUUGCUCUGAUGUUUACACACACUGAAAGUGUGAAACAUACGGCAAGAGAGAGAAAGAACGUGGGGGAAGAGGUCACUGCAGCUUCUCUACAAAGCACUGACUCAAGUGAUUCAGAGUAAAACUAGUACCUUGGAACCAAAUAAUUAAAAGCCUUCCAAAAACAAAGACCCUGAUUAAACCUGAUAAGUAAAGUUUGGUCAUGAAAAUC